rnacentral:tRNA from 2 species
CGGGACGUGGCGCAGCCUGGUAGCGCGCACCCUUGGGGUGGGUGAGGUCGUGGGUUCAAAUCCCGCCGUUCCGA